UACGGAGGGUGCAAGCGUUAUCCGGAUUCACUGGGUUUAAAGGGUGCGUAGGUGGAGUGGUAAGUCAGUGGUGAAAUCUCCAAGCUUAACUUGGAAACUGCCGUUGAUACUAUCAUUCUUGAAUAUCGUGGAGGUAAGCGGAAUAUGUCAUGUAGCGGUGAAAUGCUUAGAUAUGACGUAGAACACCGAUUGCGAAGGCAGCUUGCUACACGAUCAUUGACACUGAGGCACGAAAGCGUGGGGAUCAAACAGG
rnacentral:rRNA from 1 species